rnacentral:lncRNA from 1 species
UCAUAGACGCCAGAGAAUCACCCAAAACGGCCAUCAAGCGAAGAAAAAGUCAUCGGAUAACACCAAAACUCUAGGUCCGAAAGUCGGAAAACCCUAUAAUUUGAAGAACUCGUCGGAAGAAAGUCAGAGAUGUUGGAAAAUCACCCAAAACACCUACUGAUACAGGAUCGGAGCCUCAAACAGACAUAAAAGUCCCGAUUAACCGAUUAACAUUCAUCGAAAAAAAAUAAUUUUUCUCAGAUAACCGGAAAAAAAAAACUACAGCGAAAGCUUCAUCAAGUAUCGAUAACACAUAACAGAGAAGGAUCGGAAGAUUUUCCCGCUCUGAUACCAUGAAAACAUGAAGAUUUGAUCAUCAAGUAUCGAUAACACAUAACAGAGAAGGAUCGGAAGAUUUUUUCGCUCUCAUACCAUGAAAACAUGAAGAUUUGAAGAUGAAACUAGAGAAGAUGAAGAUGAACAGUGUGAGACACAGAAAGAGAGAAACGGAAGCUUCUGGAGAAAGCCAGAAGACCAAA